GACAGAGGGUGCAAACGUUGUUCGGAAUUACUGGGCGUAAAGCGUGCGCAGGCGGCUUUGCAAGACAGAUGUGAAAUCCCCGGGCUUAACCUGGGAACUGCAUUUGUGACUGCAUGGCUGGAGUGCGGCAGAGGGGGAUGGAAUUCCGCGUGUAGCAGUGAAAUGCGUAGAUAUGCGGAGGAACACCGAUGGCGAAGGCAAUCCCCUGGGCCUGCACUGACGCUCCAUGCACGAAAGCGUGGGGAGCAAACAGG
rnacentral:rRNA from 1 species